GACGAACGCUGGCGGCGUGCUUAACACAUGCAAGUCGAACGGAAAGGCCCUGCUUUUGUGGGGUGCUCGAGUGGCGAACGGGUGAGUAACACGUGAGUAACCUGCCCUUGACUUUGGGAUAACUUCAGGAAACUGGGGCUAAUACCGGAUAGGAGCUCCUGCUGCAUGGUGGGGGUUGGAAAGUUUCGGCGGUUGGGGAUGGACUCGCGGCUUAUCAGCUUGUUGGUGGGGUAGUGGCUUACCAAGGCUUUGACGGGUAGCCGGCCUGAGAGGGUGACCGGCCACAUUGGGACUGAGAUACGGCCCAGACUCCUACGGGAGGCAGCAGUGGGGAAUAUUGCACAAUGGGCGGAAGCCUGAUGCAGCAACGCCGCGUGCGGGAUGACGGCCUUCGGGUUGUAAACCGCUUUCGCCUGUGACGAAGCGUGAGUGACGGUAAUGGGUAAAGAAGCACCGGCUAACUACGUGCCAGCAGCCGCGGUGAUACGUAGGGUGCGAGCGUUGUCCGGAUUUAUUGGGCGUAAAGGGCUCGUAGGUGGUUGAUCGCGUCGGAAGUGUAAUCUUGGGGCUUAACCCUGAGCGUGCUUUCGAUACGGGUUGACUUGAGGAAGGUAGGGGAGAAUGGAAUUCCUGGUGGAGCGGUGGAAUGCGCAGAUAUCAGGAGGAACACCAGUGGCGAAGGCGGUUCUCUGGGCCUUUCCUGACGCUGAGGAGCGAAAGCGUGGGGAGCGAACAGGCUUAGAUACCCUGGUAGUCCACGCUGUAAACGGUGGGUACUAGGUGUGGGGUCCAUUCCACGGGUUCCGUGCCGUAGCUAACGCUUUAAGUACCCCGCCUGGGGAGUACGGCCGCAAGGCUAAAACUCAAAGGAAUUGACGGGGCCCCGCACAAGCGGCGGAGCAUGCGGAUUAAUUCGAUGCAACGCGUAGAACCUUACCUGGGUUUGACAUGGAUCGGGAGUGCUCAGAGAUGGGUGUGCCUCUUUUGGGGUCGGUUCACAGGUGGUGCAUGGCUGUCGUCAGCUCGUGUCGUGAGAUGUUGGGUUAAGUCCCGCAACGAGCGCAACCCUUGUUCACUGUUGCCAGCACGUUAUGGUGGGGACUCAGUGGAGACCGCCGGGGUCAACUCGGAGGAAGGUGGGGAUGACGUCAAGCCAUCAUGCCCCUUAUGUCCAGGGCUUCACGCAUGCUACAAUGGCUGGUACAGAGAGUGGCGAGCCUGUGAGGGUGAGCGAAUCUCGGAAAGCCGGUCUCAGUUCGGAUUGGGGUCUGCAACUCGACCUCAUGAAGUCGGAGUCGCUAGUAAUCGCAGAUCAGCAACGCUGCGGUGAAUACGUUCCCGGGGCC
rnacentral:rRNA from 1 species